CCGGUUCCGAGAAUUGUUGAUUUGGCUAACUAGGGCAGCUCAAGUGGAGCGCCUAAGAGAGGCGAGCACCGGCGCUGAUCCGUCUCCUUGCUUACUAUACCCGAGCUUUCCCUUGAGUCUCUGACAUAUGCUUACAGAAGUACGACCUGAAGAGAAAAUGAAUGUUCCAGCACUGAAGCUCCAGCUGAAGACGACAAUGAUGUCAUUGAGCUUCCUCAUGUACCGGUUAAAGCACUAGAGAUGCAAUAAGCUCCAAGGAUAACAGUUUUGGGAGAGGCAGUACCUACUUAGUCGGAUGGAACUGACCUGAACAGGCACAAGUCCUGCAGUUUUGGAGGAGCUGUAAAAUAUCAACGCGAUGUUUUUGC